UUUCUUUGAAUUUUUUAAAAUUUUGGAAUUAAAAAGAAAUGAAAAGUUUGGAAGAUUUUUGAUUUUUUAAAGAAAAACAAAAAUUUAAUUUUAAUUUUAAUUUCAAAAUAAUUUUAUAAAUUUUUUUAUUAUUUUUUCAAUUUUUUAGAAUUUUAAAGAUCUUUUAAAGUUUUUAGAAUUUUUUUUUAUAUUCAAUCAGUACUAAUAAAAUUAAAUGUGUUAAUAACUCAAUUGAAAGUGACAUUAGCCCAGUGGUAAAAUACCUUGCUAUAUAUACUAAUCAACCCGAGUUCAAAUCGAGGGCUUUAUUUCUUUUUAUUUUCAAAUCAUAUAAAACGACGACUCGUUUUGUUUAACGCUAACAUUUAACGUCUGCUUAACACUGUUUUAACUGUGGGUUCACGGUGUGCUAAAAUGGCUAGUCAAUCUUAAGUUGCUUAAUAAACAAAAAAAGUUAAUUAAAGUACAAUAUUUUUUUAUCAGAUUCGAGUACAGAUUUUUUUUGGCGAUUCGUGUAAAGUUCAUGUUUUUUUUGGCCGAAUUCGUCUUUUUAAACUCAGAGAUUUACCCUUUUUUUAAUGAGCCAUAGAGAGUUAAUUUAGACGUCUUACCCUUAUUAUGCUUUUUACCCUGUGCUUUGGAUUCUGUAAUCCACUCCCCUCUAGCCUCUAGGGGACUAGUAAAUGGACCCAUCAACUGAAAGUUGUCUUGUACCGUCCGUCGCAUGAACCAAAAGUGAGAAAAUUGUUAAAAAUACGUUAAUAUAAUUCGCCAUAUCUUUUUCUAAGUUUUUCAAAGUUGUUAAUUAAUAUUAUUGUGACAUGUGUCAAUUAAUUUAUUAAGAUUGUGACAUGUAUCAAAAAUAUAUUACAAUUCACUUUUGUUAGGAUUUAAAAAGAUUUAGAAAAAGAAAAUUAUUAUUACAUUUUUUUGAACACUAAAAAGGAAAAUUAUUACAAAAAUUUAGUUUAUUAUUCUUUUUUGGAGUUAAGCAAAGAAAAAUUACUAUCACAUAGCCUUUUACAAUAUAUUUGUAUGGCUCUUUUUAUAAUCUUUUAAAAAUAUUUGAUAGUAAAUUUAAUUUUUGAAAAUUCUAUAAACAAAGAAUACUGUGAAAAGCUAUUUGAAAGUAUUUUUUUUUCUUUUUAAAAUAUUUUUUAUAUUUUUCAUUUUAAAGAUACUAAAGAAAGAUAUUAUAAGAGAAAAUAUUUAUUUUUAAAAAAAUAAAUUAAAUAAAAACGAAUUAUAAAAUCCUACAAGUACAAGAAAUUAUUUAAUAAAAAUCAAAUAGAAAAACUAACUUUAAAAUAAGUGAUAUUCCUUUUUAAAACCUAAGAAAAUAAAAAAGUAAAAGUACUCUUAUUAUUUUCCUAUAAAUAAGUAACUUUCCUUUUUAACAGAUAAAUGUAUGCUACAAAAAUAUAAACCAAAAUAAAUAUUAUUUUCACAUCUAUAUUUAGGUUUAAGAUUCUUCAUAUUGUUUUCACAAAAUAGUAUUGACAAGAAAAAUAUUAUCUGAGUAUUUUGUUUUUAUUUCUUUAAACAACUCAAUUGUUUUAUCAUCCUUAUUACAUCUUAUGAUGCUAACACAAGUUUUUUUUUUUUGAUGUUUUUAUCGUACAUAAGUAUGUGUAAAUAUGAGGAAUGUAUGUUUGUAUGUAUAAGACACAAUAUAUAAUUAACUAAACAUAAUUUUUUUAUUGAAAAUAUAUUCGUUUUAUAAAAAUCUUAAAAAACAAGAACGAAUUAUAGUUGGAAUUUUCCUUUUUUUAUUUUUUUAAGUAGCUUAUUUCUUAUAAAUAACUAACUAUUUUUUAAUAGAAUUUUGUGUUGUAAAAUUAUAAACCAAAAAUAACUUCAAAUAUUUCACCUGAUAUGAUUGUGUCAUUUGUACAAAAAGAAACAUUGUGUACUUAUUAAUAAAAAUCUAUCAUUAUGUGAAAAUAAAUUUUUUUCCUAAAAUCCUAAAUAAAAGAAAUUUGAAAAUUAAUUUUUUCCUCUUUUAAUCUUAACCAAAUAAGAUUUUGUUUUCCUUUUAAAUCAUGACCAAAUAGAAUUGUAAAAGUAAUUUUUACUUUUAAAAUUUAAUGAUAAAUGUGAUAAUGAAAAUAUUUAAUUAAAAAUAUUAGUGAUUUUGAGAAAAUGAAUUUUGAAAAUAAUAUGAUAAUGAAAAUAUUAGUGAUAUUGAGAAAAUAAAUUUUGAAAUAGGAAGUUUUAAAAAUAGUUAAUAUUUGCUGGAUAUAAUUAUUUGAUAGUAUUUUUAUUUUCUAAAUCCUAGAAAAGAAUAACUAUAAAAGAUUAUGUAAUUUUAAUUUUCUUUUAUAACACCCAAAAAGUGUAAUAAAAUAUUUGAUAGUUUUUUUCCUUAAAAAAGAAAUCCUAAACAAAAGAGAUUUAUAUCAUAUUUUUUAAUUCCUAACCAAAAGAGAAUUGUAAGAAGUUAUUUUAUAGUGUAGAAAAUUUGAUGCUUAACAUGAUACUAAAAUUAUUUAAUUAAAAAUAAAAUGUAAAAAUAAUAUUGAUAUGAACUGUAAAAAUCAUAAUUUAAAAUUAUUUGAUAGUAACUAGAAAUAAUUAUUUGAUAGCAAUAAGAUUUUUCUGAAAUUCUAAACAGAAGAUAAUUGUAAAAGUUUAUAUGAUAAUAAUUUUUUUUCUAUAAUCCUAAACAAAAAUAAAAAAAAUUAUUUGAUAGUUUUUUUUUUAAUUUUAAAUAAAAACAAGAUUUAUAAAAUAGGAUUUUUUUCCUUUUAAAAAAAAUCCUAACAAAAGUAAACAUACGUAUUUAAUAGUAUUAAAAAAAAAAGAAUUUGAUGACCAGUAUGAUGAUAAAACUAUUAAAUUAACAAAAAUCAAAACUUAGGAUGUUGUCGUGAUUGGUAUCUAUGUGUUUGGUUAUACAAAAAUCAAACACAUGUUUGAUAUGUAUAUUUUCAUGUUUGUUCAUAAAAAUUUGAUAUUAUAUUGCCAUCGUACAUAUGUUUAGUCAAAAACAAAUCAAGCUUCAUCGUUAUCUUAUUUUAUUUUUUAAUUUUUACUAUGUAGUAGUUUAUAAUUCAUUUUAAUUAAAAUAUUAUUAUGAAAAUUUAUCAUUAAAAAAUCUUGAAUCAAGAAAAUUAUUUAACAUCAGAUAAGUUUAAUAAAACAUUAAAUUACUACAUAAGAAAGUGUAUAAUGUUGUCAUUGCUUCUUGGUCCUAUUUAACUUUCAAAUUCCUUUGAUUUCAUUAUAAUUCUUAUUAUUUUGGAUUGGAUCCGGUUUAAAUUUUUACGUUUGGAUGUUUUUUCUAACUCUAACAAAUAUUAACUGAAACUUAUGUGUGAAAACGAGUUCUUAACUAUAAAAUAAAUUUCACAUAAUAUAUGCAAAAAGAAUUUUAAAAUAAUAAUAAAAUGAUUUUUAAAUUUUUUUAUUAAAUUAAAAUAUUAAAUAAAGCCCGUUGCAAUGCACAGACCCAAGUCUAGUUAUACUAAUAAAUAUUAUGAACAAGACGUAUUCUCCGUUUCUUCAGAUGUGUUCCGUAACUUCGGAUUUAUUAACGUUCCUAUUGAUAAUUUUAAUAGUUUUCUUGUUAAGUAACGGUUGUAGUGAUCACGGAUCAACGUGACGACAUCACGUGCAUGGUACUCACGCAAUAUUUUUCUUUUAUUACAACUCACACAAUGUAUCAUGUUUAGUUUGUAUACUGAUCAAUUAUUUUUUCUGUUAGAUUUAAACGUUUAUAUAGCUAACUAAUACUCUCUCCAUUUCAUAAAGUUAUAUAUUCUAGAGAGAAAAAAUUGUUUCAAAAAGAUCUUUUUUUUUUAAUAUUUUCAAUACUUGUUUUAUUAACUAAUUACAAAUUUCAAAAACUUAAUUGCACUUAUUAGAUUUUUAUUGGUUUAAAAUUAUGGAAAAAAAGAUAAUCACAAAAAAUUAUGCAAAUUUAAUGUGUUUUAUUAAAAUAUGUGAAAAUCUAAAAUAUGUACUCCCUCCGUAUCAGUUCAACUGGUGUUUUAGGAUUUUGAUUUUGCUUCAAAAUAUGUGAUGUUCUCAUAAUUCUAGGUGAAAUUUAAUGUCAUUAAAAUUUUUUGAUCAAUUAUAAAAUACUGCAUAUUUUUCUUAUUGGUGGAAUUAGUUUUAUAUAAUUGUAUUUUAUGUUACCAAAGCCAAUUACGUAAAAGUUUUUUUUAAUAUUUGUGUAAAAACCUUAAACAAUUCUUAAAAUGAUAAAGAGGAAGUAACAUUUUGAAACUGAUUGAGUAUUAAAUUUCUAGUCAUGCAUAUGAUGAAAUUGAUUUUCAGUCUCAGAUCAAAAAGUAGUGACUAUUCGACGUAUAAAUCCGAUAUAGAGUUUUUUAAAUCCGACAUAUAGUUUAGAUUCAAAUAUCUUAUUCUGCUCGUUUAUGCUCUUGAGAAUGAGCUUGGUGGUAACAAAACGAGUACGAGUAACAACUUGGUUGUAAGUCAAAAAUGAAGUAAGCUAAACUCAUUAUUCGUCCAGCACUAUUGUUUUUAAGAAAAUACUUAUUAAAAUUGGUAGAAAAAUAUGCAGCGGGUAGUGGUAAUUAUUUUUAUUUCUGUUAGCUUUUGUUAUAUUUUAAUUGAUAUUUUUGGGUCACACUGCAUAUUGCCAACGUCAUUACGUCAACGUUUAUUUAUCCGUAAAAAGCUGAAAAAGAAACGGAAACGGUAGGCGCAAAGGUGAACCCCGUUGAAAAGUUGCUUAACUAUUUUUGGUGAGAAACGAAUAAAGAGCUCGAUAAACAAAACUAUUCACUGUCGUUUUUACAAACAAAAAUGAGUUUAUUUUUCCGAGAAAGCCGCAGAUAUAUUUUCUUUUCUCAUCUGAUUUGUUUCUUUUUGUUAGUCUGUCUUCCUCGACUAUCGUCUCCUCUUAUUUUGGUUACAACUAGGGUCGGACAUUUUAUCCAUUAAAUUUUAUUCAAUUCGAUUUGAAAAUUUUGGAUAUUCGUAAACUUUCAAAAUAAAGCAAAUACUAAAAAUUAAUAUUCGCUAAAACUGAAGUAAAUCACAAAUAUUAAAAUUUUGGAAAGCAGAUAUUUAAUCCGAUUCGGCAAUAUAUAAAUACAUGUAUAUUUUAAUAUAUUUAAAAAUUUUAAUAUAUAAAAUUAUAUAAUUAUUAUUCAAACAUGAUUUGAUAAAUUAUGUUCACACUAUUACUUAUAUAAAAAUAUUACAUAAAAAGAAGAGAACACAUUUAUGACAAUUAUAAUUUUUUUCUUAAGCUUUUGUUAUUAUAAUUGUUAACUAAGUUCAAAAAGUUUACAAAAUAUGUAGAUUCACUAGUUCUUUUAAUUUUUAUAAUAUAUAUCAUGAAAAAAAAUAUUUUACAGAACAAAUUUGUAUCAAAUUUUGAAGAUUAUUUGUAUUAAUCAAAACAUAUGAGAUAUCCGUAAAUAUUCGUAAAUAUCCGCAAAUAUCUAUUUAUUUUCCGGAUAUCCGUUUUUCGAAUAUCUGUAUUUUUCCGAAGCAAAGCAAAUCGAAAAAUUAAAUAUCCAUGACAUACGAAACAAAUCACAAAUACUUUAAAAAAUGCGGAUAUCCGAUCCGUGCCCAUGCCUAAUUACAACUCAUCUAGGGUUUUACUUUUAUGUAGUCUUUUUAAUCAAUCUCUCUCUUUCUCUCUCUCCAAUAAAUAUACUUCCACCUUCCCCCUUUCUCAUCAUUGAACCAUUCUAUUAAUUUCUGUUCUUUUCCUUUCACGAGGGUUUGGCAAAGAGUUUCUUACAGAUUUCUUUGGCAUUCUGUCCACCUCCUUUGUAUAUAAAUGUAAGUAUAUCGGUUGUGUGUGAAAGAAGGAGGUGGUCAUACUGCCAGUAGACAUCUGUUAGGGUUUCUUUGUAAAACCCUCUUGAUAUACAUUUUUUUUUAUUUUUUUGAUAUACAUGUAUUUAUAUAUUGCCGGAUCGGAUCAAAUAUCUGAUUUCCAAAAUUUUAAUAUUUGUGAUUUUCUCUUGAUAUACAUAUCUUUCAAUGUUUGGAAUCUGGUAAGCUUGAUCUGUUACAUAGCGAUGACAAGCCUCCUCUUGAUUCUAUCAUAUCUUUGAUUAUGUUGCUCCUUCUUUCUUUGAGUUUAUACAUUAUAGGGUCGUUUUAUUAUAUACAUAUGUUGAUCUAGAUCAUUACAUUGAUUUUUUUUUUUUGGUAAAACUUCUGUUACCUUUGGUUUUCCAGUUCCUCUAUCGUGUAGAACCUUUGAACUAUAUCGUCAUAACGUUGACUAGUGCGAUAUUUUGAUGUUUCGUCUUCUAGAAAAGGUUAAACACAAAGAAAAAGAGAAGGUCCCAGAAUUCCAAAAAGGUAACAGUUUUUUUUAACUUUUACAACGUAGUAAUAGGGAGAAAGGACAAGCAUCUUGUUUUGGAGUCUACAAUGUUAUUAUGAUGUUACCUUAUUCUAUUUGAAGUUUAAGAAACAGUAGUAGAGUUUACGAGUAUUCCUUCAUUUAGCAUCAUUUCUGACGUGACGUAUAUACAGUGUACAGGUUCGUAAGCCAUAGCUUGCUUGCUUCCUUUUUUUAUCAUGCAUGAGUUGAAAAUAAUUCAUAAUUUUCUUGCGUUUCCGCUAAGAUUUGUUAAUUGAUCAGAGUUAUUUAUCAUCAUUCUAGAGAAUAACACGCUAGUCGUACAGUUCUUUAUAUUUUUGUGUAUUUCAUCGAUAUAUCCGAUAAUUGCAUUGCUGAUUAGUAGAUGGAUGUAUUUUUUAGCAGUCUUGCUUAAGCCAUAGAUGAUAAAUUAAUCAGUCCAGGAGACCAAGUUUAAAGAGAUCUAGAUAGUUUGGUAUGUUCGGGUUUGCGUGAGGAUAUAUCACAAAAGAUCAUAAGUCUCCAACGAUCUGGGUUUAAGAAUUCUGAAUAAUGAGCUGCCCAACAAAAGAAACAUGUUCUAAGCAAGUAGCUUUUUUUUUUUUUUUUGCUAAAAUUUGGUGCAUAUAUUAUAAAAGAGGCAAAAGCAUACAUAAUGUGAGAAUAUUACAAUGCUCUAGUGGAUAAAGUUAGUAAAUUCAUUCUGAGCCCCACAUGGUUCUUGGUCUCGAGAGAGAGUAGCCCAAAGGAAAACAUGGGCUUAGGAGCUUUUGCAGUAGAAGAAAUAAAGCCCAGAAUCAAAAUAUUCGUUGUCUUCCUCAAUGAAGUAAUCGAAAGGUCUCACGGUAGAGAGAACCAGAGUUGCAUGCAGGCACUCGAUUCCAUUGGGUCAGUUUCACGGAGCGAUGAGAUACGGUUUUUGAUGGUGGAGGAGAUGGUUGAGAAUAUAGCUUCCUGCGACUUGAAGUGAGAUCGGUGGAGCCUAUUGUUGCGCUCACGCCAUAGUUCAUGAAUCAGCGUUUGCCAGGAUAGGAUUGUGAGAUAGCGCAACCGGUUAUCACCAGUGUAAUGGAUCAGACCUUGCAAAGUAUCAUCCCAAUCGUCUGAGAUAAUGGCAAAUUGAAGUUUUGCAGCAAGGUUUCUCCAAAUUCCAGAGGAGAAGGAGCAACCGAAAUAAAUGUGAUUUUUGCUCUCUGGAAGUAGGUUACACAGAAGACAGAGAGGAUCCGUCUGCAAUCCCCAAGACAGUAACCUAUCACGAGUGGGGCACCUAUUGAGUACAAACAUCCAAGAGUGGUACCCAGUCUGCUCCAUUCCGGCAUGUCCUCAUGUUCUGAGAGAGAUACAGUUGAUAGAAAAAUCUGGAUUUGCUCCAUCUCCUGAGAUCUUGCCGGACCUAUAUCCCAAGUUUCUCCAACCCACAGCGAAGCUAGAGAUGAAGAGAGGGGAAUACCAUACUGUCUCGGUCCAUUAUGACCAACAAACUUGAUGAGUUGGCCAAAUGGAGACCAUGGCGUUGUCCAGAAGAAGAUUGAAUUCCCAUUUCCUGGUAAUAUUCUCAUCCAAUUGAUUGCUGUAAUAUUAUAUUUUAAUCAAUAGUAGCAUUGGCUAGACAGAAAUAAAAAAGUUUAGAUAUGAGUUAAUUUAAGAACGCUUAUUUCUAUACAAUACAAUGCAAGUAGCUUUUGCAUUGUAUAGAAAUAAGCGUUCUCAAAUUAACUCAUAUCUAAACUUUUUUAUUUCUGUCUAGCCAAUGCUACUAUUGAUUAAAAUAUAAUAUUGCAGCCUUCGAUCGAUGAAUCUCUCGAACUUAUAACCUGUCGAAUUGUUUACAUAAACCGAGAAUGAUGUUGCUCUCUUACUUGACAAAGGAAUAGGUGAAAAGUGAAUAGUGUGGUGAUGAUCUCAUAGAAAUCUCACUUAUCAACCCUUAAAAUCCCAAAUCAUUGAUUGUUGUCUCAAGACUAUGAAAAGUUAUAAACGGGUAUUAUCAUACGAUUCGUGAGGCAGAACCAGUCUGCGGGUUUAAUGCAUUGGGGACCUUAGAGCAUAUGCAAUGGUGAACCUCACCAAUGAAUCCUUAGCAAUAUUUUAGUAAUUUUUUUUUUUUUUGGUUUUUGUUUGAAUAGUUAAGGAUUCGAAUCAAAACUGGUCGUCCAAUGGUGUUCCCGAAGAUGGGUCCUUAGAAAAAAAAAAUAUUUUUUAUUUUUUUUUUAAACUGAAAUUGAAAUUUUAUUAUUUGCAUGAUUAAAAAUAAAGAUACAAUGAUUAAACAUAAAGAUAUAAAGAUAAACUAAUUAGUAAUCUUCAUCACCAAAUUUGUUCCAAAUAUUUUCGAUUAAAUCAUUCUUCAAUCGUUCAUGCAUAUGCCUAUCACGAAGAUCAUUCCGAGUGGGAAACAUAUUAUUCAGAUUUGUAGGCCUCUCGGUUUCGACCUCUGAACUUCUGGUUACGUCUCCUUCUUCAAAUUCAGAUAUAUCGUAAUGAAUGUAUCCAUCUCGUUCAUUUUCGACUACCAUAUUGUGUAGUAUGAUACAUGCUCUCAUAAUCUUCCCUAUCUUUGCUUUGUUCAUUGUAAGAGACGGGUUUCUCACAAUCGCAAACCGGGAUUGUAGUACUCCAAAAGCCCGCUCCACAUCUUUUCGGGUUGCUUCUUGAACUUUAGCAAAUAACUCUUGUUUAGGACUUUGAGGGAGUGUGAUAGAUUGGAUAAAUGUUGACCAUUUUGGAUAUAUACCGUCUGUGAGGUAGUACGCCAACUUAUACGUGUGUCCGUCGACCACGUACUUUACCCUGGGGGCCCGACCUUCUAAAAUGUCAUCAAAAACAGGAGACCGAUCGAGGACAUUGAUAUCGUUUAAGGUACCUGGAGGACCAAAAAAAGCGUGUCAUAUCCAAAGAUCAUGUGAAGCCACAGCCUCUAAGACAAUCGUCGGUUUAGCUGAUCCACGUGCAUACUGCCCUUUCCAAGCGGUUGGGCAAUUCUUCCACUCCCAAUGCAUACAGUCAAUGCUUCCGACCAUCCCAGGAAAGCCCCGUUUUUCUCCAAUAUCGAGCAGUCGUUGGAGAUCCUCUGGUGUGGGUCUUCGUAGAUACUCUUCUCCAAAUAAUUGUAUUAUUUCGUCAGUGAAAUGGUGUAAACACGAAAGUGCCGUGCUUUCACCAAUUCGGAGAUAUUCAUCCACUGUGUCAGCCGCAGCACCAUAAGCAAGCAGACGAAUAGCUGCUGUACAUUUUUGCAGUGGAGAAAGGCCUAACCUGCCGGUUGCAUCUCUUCUUUGUUGAAAGAAUGGAACGUUCUCUGAGAGGCCAUCGACAAUACGCAUAAAUAAUUCCUUAUUCAUGCGGAACCGGCGUCUGAAUAAUUGUGGGGAGAAUGUAGAAUCUUCGCUGAAGUAGUCAUUCCACAAACGGUUGUGUCCUGCUUCACGGUUGCGUUCUAUAUAAGCACGUCUCCUUUGCUUAUUGGUACGGGACCCGACUAUUUCAUUGUAUGUAUCUUCGACGAUUUCUUCGAAAAUUUCAUCCAGUCUUUCUUCGACUUCAUCGGAUGAAGAUGACGACAUUUCUACAAUGUUUUCAAUUUUUUAAAGGUUUUAAAUAUAUUUCCACAAAGUUUUCAUUUUGUUUUUAAGUUUUAAAGAUCUUUCACAACGUUUUCAUUUUUUUUUUUAGUUUUAAACAUCUUUCUAUAUGGUUUUCAUUUUUAUUUCUAGGUUUUAAAGAUCUUUCUAUAUGGUUUUCAAUUUGUUUUUAAGUUUUAAAGAUCUUUCACAAGGUUUUCAUUUUUUAAAUAGUUUUAAAGAUCUUUUUCAAGGUUUUCAUUUUUUUUUAAAGGUUUUAAAGAUCUUUCUAUAUGGUUUUCAAUUUGUUUUUAAGUUUUAAAGAUCUUUCACAAGGUGUUCAUUUGCUAUUCGGUUUUAAAGAUCUUUCAUAAGGUUUUCAUUUUUAAAAAAGUUUUAAAGAUCUUUCUCAAGGUUUUCAUUUCUUUUAAAGGUUUUAAAGAUCUUUCCACCACAAGGUUUUCAAUUUGUUUUUAAGUUUUAAACAUCUUUCUAUAUGGUUUUAAUAUAUGGUUUUAAAGAUCUUUCUAUAUGGUUUCAAUUUUUAUUUUUAGGUUUUAAAGAUCUUUCCACACGGUUUUCAUUUUUUUUUUAAGUUAUAAAGAUCUUUGCUAUUCGGUUUUACAAGUUUAAGAUUAGUUUCAAUAACAGAUUGGUAAAGGAGAAAUGUUUGUGUUACCUAAUAAGUGAAGCAGCAGUUUGUACUUGUUGCAAGUUCGAGUACUAGGAAAAGAUUACAACACCUAGAUAGCAAGAUAUUACAACACCUUCGAGUAGUAGCAACCAAAAUAAAGGAAAGAAGAAGUAGUUGAGAGUAAACAAAUGAGAUAGGUAGCAAUAAAAACAUCAUCCAGUCGUGAAGUUUUAUAGAACAUAGAGUGAUACAGUAGAACCCGUGAGUUGGCUCACAUGAAGCUAGACAACAAAACACCUUUUUCUUGCAGCACCCGUGCCUUCACAUGUCAUACUGCUCAACCUGAAAUGACAAAAAAAGGCAACAGUUAGAGAAGUGUACAAUACAAACAAACGACAUGAGAUCAACUAAUCAAAUGAGUAACAAAACUACCCAACAUCUCAGACAUUAGUUUGAGUUUAAGAGAUGUUUCCAUCUCAGUGAGCGGCUCUUUCUUGCCAAGUAAACGUUCAAGCAGUUUCUGUUUAGAAAGUUUUUCUUCCACUGCCAUGAUGGACUGAAUCUUUGACAAAUCCUCCUCUUUACCACUCUUCUUCCUCUUAGAAGCAGCUUUAGCAGCCUUGACGCCCACGGGUCGUGCCUCCGGUUCUCCCACUUCGUCUUCUGUAUCCACCUCCAGCACUUGUUUGCGCUUCUCCUUACCAGCGUGAUUAGACGGAUAGGUUGAGCACCACUUCUGGUCGUGCCUCAGCUCCCUCCAUCCAUGUUCCACACCGAACUUGUAACCGUGAUCAUUGUAGAAGUUCUCAAGUGCAGCUUUCAUCACAUCAUCAUCAUUUUGUCCACUUCUCUGCUCCCUCAGAGCCGCAUCAUAGCUCCCAACGAACUUGGAGACUUGCUCGUUAAUCCUAGCCCACCUCUGCUUGCACUGACCAAGCUCUCUAGGUUUUGUCCCAACGAGUUGAGGACUUGCGUUGUAGUAGGCAACAAUCCUCUUCCAGAACUGUCCUGAUUUCUGCUCAUUGCUCACCACCGCAUCCUUACUGGUGUUAAGCCAAACCCCAAUAAGUAUUUUAUCCUCCUUCAUAGACCAUUUGCUCCUCUCCUUCCCACCAGACUCGACCCCAGACUCGAUAACAGGCUCGACAACAGGCUCCUCAGGACCUUGACUACCGAACCAAAAAGGUUCAGGUGAAUCAAGGUCAACUGAAGAUUGAGAUUGACUAAACAGGAGAUUAACAUAACUAGUGUUCUUAUCCAUGGUUAGAAAAGUGUAGUGUGUCACUCUAAGAGCAACACAUAUCCUUAAGUAGGCGCACUUGAAGUUAGCAAAAUUAAAAUCAAUGCAAACCGAGCAGUUGGGAAGGUAGAAAGCAAACUAGUUGCAUUAAACACCUAUCAAAUCAGAGUUAACCCGAGUUCCUAACGUUGUAAAACAUUUAAACCAAUCACAUCUAAGGCGGUAGGAAGCGGAAAGCAAAAAAAGAUGCAUUUAAACGCAAUAGAUUGUAAGUUUUCAAAUUUUUACACUACUAUACGUUUUAUAUAAUGCAUAGCAGUAGUCAUAGACCCCUAUAACUAGGAAAUAGGAGUAUUGUACCUUAUUAUACAGACACUCCACCGGUUUUAGACACUCGCUUUUACUUCUUUGAAUCUCUUCCUGCAACAACAUGAGAUCAAACUGUCACAAUUUUU